rnacentral:tRNA from 7 species
GGAGAGCUGGCCGAGUAGGUCGAAGGCGCUCGCCUGCUAAGCGAGUAGACGGUUAUAAAACUGUCUCGAGGGUUCGAAUCCCUCGCUCUCCGCCA